GAUGAACGCUAGCGGCAGGCCUAACACAUGCAAGUCGAGGGGUAACAGGAAAAAGCUUGCUUUUUUUGCUGACGACCGGCGCACGGGUGCGUAACGCGUAUAGAACCUACCUUUUACAGGGGGAUAGCCUUUAGAAAUGAAGAUUAAUACCCCAUGGUAUUAUUGAUUCGCAUGGAUUAAUAAUUAAAGAUUUAUCGGUAAAAAGAUGGCUAUGCGUCCUAUUAGCUAGAUGGUGUGGUAACGGCACACCAUGGCAACGAUAGGUAGGGGCCCUGAGAGGGGGAUCCCCACACUGGUACUGAGACACGGACCAGACUCCUACGGGAGGCAGCAGUGAGGAAUAUUGGGCAAUGGAGGCAACUCUGACCCAGCCAUGCCGCGUGCAGGAAGACUGCCCUAUGGGUUGUAAACUGCUUUUAUACAGGAAGAAACAGUCCUACGUGUAGGGCCUUGACGGUACUGUAAGAAUAAGGAUCGGCUAACUCCGUG
rnacentral:rRNA from 1 species